UACGUAGGGUGCGAGCGUUGUCCGGAUUUAUUGGGCGUAAAGGGCUCGUAGGCGGUUUGUCGCGUCGGGAGUGAAAACUCAGGGCUUAACCCUGAGCCUGCUUCCGAUACGGGCAGACUAGAGGUAUGCAGGGGAGAAUGGAAUUCCUGGUGUAGCGGUGAAAUGCGCAGAUAUCAGGAGGAACACCGGUGGCGAAGGCGGUUCUCUGGGCAUUACCUGACGCUGAGGAGCGAAAGUGUGGGGAGCGAACAGG
rnacentral:rRNA from 1 species